rnacentral:rRNA from 1 species
GCAAGUCGAGCGAGAAAGCACUUCGGUGCGAGUACAGCGGCGGACGGGUGAGUAACGCGUAGGAAUCUACCCAGUAGUGGGGGACAACAUGGUGAAAACCAUGCUAAUACCGCAUACGCCCUAAGGGGGAAAGCGGGGGAUCUUCGGACCUCGCGCUAUUGGAUGAGCCUGCGUAGGAUUAGCUUGUUGGUGAGGUAAUGGCUCACCAAGGCGACGAUCCGUAGCUGGUUUGAGAGAAUGAUC